rnacentral:rRNA from 1 species
ACGCUUUUUACUUUAGCUUGCUAGAGUAGAAGGAGUUGCGAACGGGUGAGUAACGCGUAGGUAACCUACCUACUAGCGGGGGAUAACUAUUGGAAACGAUAGCUAAUACCGCAUAAGAGUUUUUAACACAUGUUAGAAGCUUGAAAGAUGCAAAUGCAUCACUAGUAGAUGGACCUGCGUUGUAUUAGCUAGUUGGUGGGGUAAAGGCCUACCAAGGCGACGAUACAUAGCCGACCUGAGAGGGUGAACGGCCACACUGGGACUGAGACACGGCCCAGACUCCUACGGGAGGCAGCAGUAGGGAAUCUUCGGCAAUGGGGGCAACCCUGACCGAGCAACGCCGCGUGAGUGAAGAAGGUUUUCGGAUCGUAAAUCUCUGUUGUAAGAGAAGAACGUGUGUGAGAGUGGAAAGUUCACACAGUGACAGUAACUUACCAGAAAGGGACGGCUAACUACGUGCCAGCAGCCGCGGUAAUACGUAGGUCCCGAGCGUUGUCCGGAUUUAUUGGGCGUAAAGCGAGCGCAGGCGGUUUAAUAAGUCUGAAGUUAAAGGCAGUGGCUUGACCAUUGUUC